UUAAGAGCGACGGGCGAUGUGUGAUGUUUUAGAGCUAUAAUCAAAUAAACUAUAUUCAUUAUUUUACUUUUAAAUCCACCUUAAAAUCAUCAUUUCAGACAAUUUAACGUAUAAAUAAAUUUAUUGUAACCCAUCUCUAMUAAAGCAUAAACUGCACCUUGACCUGACAUCAAUUAUAUUUUUAAAUUAAGAAAAUUAUUACUCUUUUAAGAUAUUCUGAUAACGGCGAUAUACAAAUUGAAAACAAACCUUAGUAAGGUCCAACGGGGAUUAUCGAUUACAGGACAGGUUCCUCUAAAUAGACUAAAACACCGCCAAAUUCUUUAAGUUUGAAGACCAUAACUAUUACUACUCUAGUAUUAAUAUUUACAUUUUAAAUAAUAGGGUAUCUAAUCCUAGUUUA
rnacentral:rRNA from 1 species